CCUUAAUACCUACUGAAUUAUUUUAUUCUAAUAUAAAAGUAAUUAUGCUAGAACUAGUAACAAGAAAUUGAAUUUCUCCUAAAUGUAAGUAUAAACCACAACGGACCGUCCACUGGCAAUUAACGUCUAUGUACCCCCUAUAACACCCCCCGCUCAAGAAAACCCUAUUAACUUCAACGUUAACCUUACACUAGAACAUUCCAGGAAAGAUUAAAAAAGAAAGAAGGAACUCGGCAAAUUUUAGCCCCGCCUGUUUACCAAAAACAUCGCCUCUUGACACAAUAUAAGAGGUCUAGCCUGCCCAGUGACAGAGUUUAACGGCUACGGUAUCCCUGACCGUACGAAGGUAGCAUAAUCACUUGUCCCUUAAAUAGGGGCCUGUAUCAACGGCAUCACGAGGGCUGCACUGUCUCCUCUCUUCAAUCAGUGAAACUGAUCCUCCCGUGAAGAAGCGGGAAUUCAUUUAUAAGACGAGAAGACCCCAUGGAGCUUUAAGCAAGCUCUCACACUAUCAACACAUCUUUUAACUACAAGCUCUGAGUGCAAGUUUUAGGUUGGGGGGACCGCGGAGAACAACUAAACCUCCGUGACAAAUAGCCCUAAGCCCUUAUCUACGAGCAACAGCUCUAAGAAUCAGUACACUGAUGAUUAUGACCCGAUACUAUUCGACCAACGAACCAAGUUACCCUGGGGAUAACAGCGCAAUCUACUUCGAGAGCCCAUAUCGACAAGUAGGUUUACGACCUCGAUGUUGGAUCAGGGUAUCCUUGUGGUGCAGCAGCUAC
rnacentral:rRNA from 1 species